rnacentral:misc_RNA from 1 species
GAUCUUUGUGAAUUUUAAUAUUCACUCCACCAUAGAAGACGGCAACCUUCAGAUCCGGAAGAUAUGUGCUGAACCUUUCAAACUCGUGACAGAUCUGGUAUGCAAGCUCCCUAGUAUGGCACAGAACAAGGGCAGAAACUUGACCAGCAACAGGGUCAAUCUGCUGCAGUGUUGACAGAACAAAAACAGCUGUUUUACCCAUACCAGAUUUAGCUUGACAAAUAACAUCCAUGCCGAGGAUAGCUUGGGGAAUACAUUCAUGUUGCACUUCAGAUGGAUGCUCAAAUCCAGAGUCUACAAUAGCACGGAGAAGCUCUGGCUUCAAUAGGAAGUCUCUG